rnacentral:rRNA from 1 species
UACGGAGGGUGCAAGCGUUGUCCGGAUUUAUUGGGUUUAAAGGGUGCGUAGGCGGUCUGGUAAGUCGGCGAUGAAAGCCCGGGGCUCAACCCCGGAACUGUCGUCGAUACUGUCGGACUUGAGUACGGGUGAGGCUGGCGGAAUGGGCGGUGUAGCGGUGAAAUGCAUAGAUACCGUCCAGAACCCCGAUUGCGAAGGCAGCUGCUAAGCCGUAACUGACGCUGAGGCACGAAAGCGUGGGGAGCGAACAGG